ACCUUUACCACAUUGGUAGUACUCGCAGUGCUUGAUGCGACCACCACGAAUCAUGGCAUUCAUACCGGCAUAGAUAUCCUCGUUCAGA